rnacentral:rRNA from 1 species
CCUACGGGCGGCUGCAGUGGGGAAUAUUGCACAAUGGGCGCAAGCCUGAUGCAGCCAUGCCGCGUGUGUGAAGAAGGCCUUCGGGUUGUAAAGCACUUUCAGCGGGGAGGAAGGCGGUGGGGUUAAUAACCUCAUCGAUCGACGUUACCCGCAGAAGAAGCACCGGCUAACUCCGUGCCAGCAGCCGCGGUAAUACGGAGGGUGCAAGCGUUAAUCGGAAUUACUGGGCGUAAAGCGCACGCAGGCGAUCUGUCAAGUCGGAUGUGAAAUCCCCGGGCUCAACCUGGGAACUGCAUUCGAAACCGGCAGGCUAGAGUCUUGUAGAGGGGGGUAGAAUUCCAGGUGUAGCGGUGAAAUGCGUAGAGAUCUGGAGGAAUACCGGUGGCGAAGGCGGCCCCCUGGACAAAGACUGACGCUCAGGUGCGAAAGCGUGGGGAGCAAACAGGAUUAGAUACCCGAGUAGUC